rnacentral:rRNA from 1 species
GUGGGGAAUUUUGGACAAUGGGCGAAAGCCUGAUCCAGCCAUGCCGCGUGCAGGAUGAAGGCCUUCGGGUUGUAAACUGCUUUUGUACGGAACGAAAAGACUCUGGUUAAUACCUGGGGUCCAUGACGGUACCGUAAGAAUAAGCACCGGCUAACUACGUGCCAGCAGCCGCGGUAAUACGUAGGGUGCAAGCGUUAAUCGGAAUUACUGGGCGUAAAGCGUGCGCAGGCGGUUAUAUAAGACAGAUGUGAAAUCCCCGGGCUCAACCUGGGAACUGCAUUUGUGACUGUAUAGCUAGAGUACGGCAGAGGGGGAUGGAAUUCCGCGUGUAGCAGUGAAAUGCGUAGAUAUGCGGAGGAACACCGAUGGCGAAGGCAGUCCCCUGGGCCUGUACUGACGCUCAUGCACGAAAGCGUGGGGAGCAAACAGGAUUAGAUACCCUGGUAGUCC